CCUACGGGAGGCAGCAGUAGGGAAUUUUCCGCAAUGGGCGAAAGCCUGACGGAGCAAUACCGCGUGAGGGAUGACGGCCUGUGGGUUGUAAACCUCUUUUCUCAAGGAAGAAGUUCUGACGGUACUUGAGGAAUAAGCAUCGGCUAACUCUGUGCCAGCAGCCGCGGUAAUACAGAGGAUGCAAGCGUUAUCCGGAAUCACUGGGCAUAAAGCGUCUGUAGGUUGUUUAGUAAGUCUGCUGUUAAAGACUGGGGCUUAACCCCAGAAAAGCAGUGGAAACUGCUAGACUCGAGUGUGGUAGAGGUAGAGGGAAUUCCUAGUGUAGCGGUGAAAUGCGUAGAUAUUAGGAAGAACACCAAUGGCGAAGGCACUCUACUGGGCCAUAACUGACACUGAGAGACGACAGCUAGGGGAGCAAACGGGAUUAGAUACCCCGGUAGUCCUAGCCGUAAACGAUGGAUACUAGAUGUUGCACGUAUUAACCCGUGCAGUAUCGUAGCUAAGGCGUUAAAGUAUCCGCUGGAAGUACGCGUCGCGAGAGAGAACGACGUAAGGUAAAGUUAGUUACGGCGUGAGAGUGCCGACGGCGACGACGAGGGAGGAGG
rnacentral:rRNA from 1 species